rnacentral:rRNA from 1 species
CCUACGGGUGGCAGCAGUGAGGAAUAUUGGUCAAUGGACGGAAGUCUGAACCAGCCAAGCCGCGUGCGGGAUGAAGGCUCUGUGUAUUGUAAACUUCUUUUGUCCGAGGGUAAAGCCGGGUACGUGUCUCCGGCUGAGAGUACCUUACGAAAAAGGAUCGGCUAACUCCGUGCCAGCAGCCGCGGUAAUACGGAGGAUGCGAGCGUUAUCCGGAUUUAUUGGGUUUAAAGGGUGCGCAGGCGGUCUGUUAAGUUAGAGGUGAAAGGUCCGGGGUUAACCCGGGGCCUGGCUGUAAUUCUGGCAGUCGCGAGAUGGAGUGCGGUAGGCGGAAUGUGGGGUGUAGCGGUGAAAUGCUUAGAUAUCGUGCAGAACACCGAUUGCGAAGGCAGCAUGCC